UGGAGAUGUCUGCCCAGCACCCAGUGACACGCAGUAGGUUCCCUCAGCCUGGGAAGCAGCAGUAGCCUGUCCCUCCCAGUCCACAUUCCCAACAAAUCAUCCCCCUAAAUGUGCUGCUCAGCUCAAUUUGAAGAGGAGAAGAGACACGAGCCAGCGCAGGCCUCGCAGUGUGAAAUUAUUGUCGAGCAGGGAUCGCACGGGUCCCUUCUGGCUUUAAAUAAUCCCGAAAAACAGAUGCCUCUGGAUUGCCUCCACGGAGCCAGGGCUGCGUGUGGAGAGUUUCAGCCCCCUCUGAAGGGCUGUUUGCUGUCAUCAGUCCUGGAGGAGCCCGUGGGGGCCAGGAGAGGAGCGACACCAGAGAUUUGUCCUAUUGAUUAACCCGGGAUGGGAGGAAUCAAACACCGCGAGCAGACAAACACCUGGGAGGAGAACAGGGCAAUUGUCAGGAACAAACAAGAGCAAAACGAGGAUCAUAUUAUUUCUCCUGAAAUUUGGAGUGGAUCAGACCCCUGCUGUUGCAAGCCCCUGCAAUGAAUGGCUAUAAACAAGAUGCAUUUCCGGAGGAUGAAUUAAACACUGAGCCUGA